rnacentral:lncRNA from 1 species
UUUUUUUUUUUUUUUUUUUUUUUUUAAACUACACUGGCUUGAAAUUCUAGCAUUGUGUUAUAUAAGAUUACUAAUGAGAGCUGGCAUAUUUGCCUUUUCCCCAGAAUUCCGAGGAAAGCAUUCAGUCUUUCACCAGCUAGGUAUUGUGUUAGCUAUAGGCUUUUAGUAUAUAUUAUUUAUCAAAGUAAAGAAGUUUCCUUCCAUUCCUACUUUGAUCAGUUUUAUCAUGUAUGGGUUAUUGAAUUUUGUUCAUUGCUUUGUCUGCAUUGAUUGAUAUGAUCAUGUAACUUCCUUAAACUGUUAAUAUUAUGAAUUACAUUGCUUAAUUUUUUAAUAUUAAACCAGCCUGGUAUUCCUAGAUUAAACCCCAUUUGGUCAUGUCUAUAAUUCUUUUUAUGUACAGACAUGCUUCGUUUUAUUAUGCUUCAUGGAUAACUACCUGUUAUUUUUCCUUUAAACAAAUUGAAGGUUUGUGGCAACGUUGCAGCAAGCAAGUCUUCCAGCACCAUUUUUUUCCAACAGCAUUUGUUCUGAGUCUGUCACAGUAUGGUAAUUUUCACAAUAGGUUCAAACUUUUUCAUUAUUGUUAUGGUGAUCUGUGAUGAGCUCACUGAAAGCUCAGAUAGAUGAUGGUUAGCAUUUUUUAGCAAUAAGGUAUUUUUUAAAGUAUAUACUUUCUUUUAGACAUAAUGCAGUCACAUACAUAAUAGACUACAGUAUAAAUAAAACUUUUAUAUGCACUGGAAAACCCAAAAUUUUGCUUUAUGAUACCUGCAUACCAGAAAUAUCUCCAGGGUAUGCCUAUUACAAGAUUCUGUUUGCUAAUAGUUUGGUCAUGGAUUUUGGUUUUUGGUUUUUUUCUACUGGCUUUGUUUGGUUUUAAGGUAAUACUAGCUUUAUAAAAAUGGGAAAUGUUCCUUCUAUUUUUUGUAGAAUUAUAUAGAAUGUAUUAGUCCUUUUUUGAAUACUAGAAUUCUCCUGUGAAACUGUCUGGCCCUGGAGAUUAGGAGGGUAGGAUGGGGAGAAUGUAAAGUACACACAAUUUCUUCAAUAGUUAUGGGACUAUUUAAAUUAUCUGUUUUAUAAUGGGUGACUUGUGAUAGUUUGUUUUUUUUUUUUUUGUGGAAUUGUUCUAGUUCAUCUAAAUUGUCAAAUUUGUCAUUUGUGUGUAGAGUUCAUUAUAUUACCUCAUUAUCUUUUUAAUGUCUUCAAGCUCGAAAGUGUAUCACUUGUUUUCAUUCCUGAUAUAGGUAAUUUGUGUGUUUUUUUCCUCUUUUGUCAAACUUACUGAAGUUUGUCGAUUUUAUUUUUUCAGAGUACCAUUUUUUUGUCUCAUUGACUUUGUCUUUCAGUUUUGAUUUCUGUUCUUCUUUUUUUUCCUGCUUACUUUAGGCUUACCUUGCUCUUUUCUAGUUGUAUGGUAGAAGUUUAGAUUACUGAUUUGAGACCUUUUCUUCCAGCAAGCAAUUAAUACUACCAUUGUCCUCUUAUCAAAAUUUGUGAGAUGAAGCUAAAAGAUUAGUUAUGUUGCGUUUUCAUCUUUAAGUUCAAAAUAUAUUCUAAUUUGCCUAGACAUUUCUCACUGUUGGAUUCUUUUGGAAUGUAUUUUAAUACUACCAUUGUCCUCUUAUCAAAAUUUGUGAGAUGAGGCUAAAAGAUUAGUUAUGUUGUGUUUUCAUCUUUAAGUUCAAAAUAUAUUCUAAUUUGCCUGGACAUUUCUCACUGUUGGAUUCUUUUGGAAUGUAUUUCUUAAUUUCCAGAUAGCUGAGGAUUUUCCAAAUUUUAAUUUAUUAUGUUACGAUCAGGAAUCCUUUUUUAAAUUAUUAAAUGAUAGAGUUAGAAAACAAAAAGAGGUACAUAUUUAAUCUAUAUUUUAGGGAUCCCUGGGUGGCGCAGCGGUUUGGCGCCUGCCUUUGGCCCAGGGCGCGAUCCUGGAGACCUGGGAUCGAAUCCCACAUCAGGCUCCCAGUGCAUGGAGCCUGCUUCUACCUCUGCCUGGGGUCUCUGCCUCUCUCUCUCUCACUGUGUGCCUAUCAUAAAUAAAAAAUUUAAAAAAAAAAAAAUUUAGAAAACAAAAAGAGGUACAUAUUUAAUCUAUAUUUUAGAUAAAUAAGAACAAAGUAAACCCAAAUUAAACAGAAAGGUAGAAGUCAGCAUAUACAGGACCAAAAAACAGUGGAGAAAAAAAAUAGUGAAACUAGUAUCUAGUUCUCAAAAGAACAACAAAAUCAGUCUAUCUCUAAUUAAACCAAUCAGGUAAACUGGAGAAAUUACAAGUCACUAAUAUCAGGAAGGAAAGAAGAGUUGCUACUGUGGCUCUUACCUAAAUUAAAAGACUGCAAAAAUAUGAUUUUUAUGCCUAUAAAUGCAGCAACUUAGACAAAAUGGAAAUUUGAAAAAUAAAACUCAACCAAAACUUACCAGAGUAGACAAAACCAGAAUAGCCUCACAUCUAUUAAUGCAAUUCAAAUAAUUAACUAUCCUCCACAAGGAACACUUUCCUCCCAUUUGGUUUCACGUAUAAAUUUUACCAUUCAAGGAAGAAAUAACCCCAGUCCUACAGUCUUUUAGAAAAUAGUGGGAGAGGGGAACACUUCCAACUUGUUUUAUGAGACCAGGGUUCUAAUACUAAAACUUGACCAAACAUUAUAAAACAAAAUUAGAAGAUGGAGCAAAAACACAGAAAGUAUUAGCAAACUAAAUCUAAUAACAUCUGUAAAAGAUAAACUGUUUUCAUGGUUUUUUUUUUUUUCCCAACAGAUGUUACUGACAGCAAGAUAUUUAUACAGAAAAACAUUCCCCCUUUCACAACAUACACAAAAAAUAACUAAGGAUAAGUCAUAUGCCAAAAAGCAAUAGUUAUAACACAUCUAGAAGAAAACAAAAUCUCUGUGACCUUAUAGGGAAAGAUUUCCUAGAACACACACACACACACACACACACACACACACACACAUACACACACAUACAUACAUACAUACAUAAAUAAACGAACAUUAAAAUUUUAAAAAUAUCUUCAAAAGACUCUUAAGAAAAUGAAAAGACAAAGCACAGAAGUUAUUUGCAAUGUACAGAACUGAUAGAAUUAUGUGCAGACUGAAAAGAAUUUGCAACUCCCAUGCUAAUAUUUGCAUGAAGGGUGGGUAAAACUGCUGUCACCGUAGCAUAAACCAAGGCAGAGCAGCAUAGUGUAUUAGCAAUACUGAUUGAAUUUUUUAAUGACAGGCUCACUUUUAAAGAGUGUCUUGAUGAAGCUGUAAAAGUUAAUUUUUUAUCCCAUCCUCCAUCUUUCAUAAUCUGAUAAAAUGGGAAUUAUAUAAAAAGCAUUUCUGCGUACCAAAACAUGGUUAUUUUACAGAAAUGCAGUUCUUUCAGUUGGAGUCUGAAGUAACUGCUUCUUUUUUACUUGAACAGAUAACUAAGACAAACUGUGGUUAUAAGUCUAUAGUAUUUGGUAGACAUUUCCUAAAAAUGAACAAAGUGAGCCUGUCCUAUUAACCUGACAUUUGUUGCAAAUAAUAAAACUGUAACUUUCAAAUGAAAAUUAGAAUUUUGACAAACUUGUAUUUAUUUGUCAUUGUGAGCUGGACAUCUUCUCAGGACAUCUUCUCAAUAAAGACUUUUCUGAUUA